CCCUUAGAUGUUCUGGGCCGCACGCGCGCUACACUGAAGGGAUCAGCGCGUUUUCCCUUCCCGAGAGGGACGGGUAACCCGCUGAACCCCCUUCGUGGUAGGGAUCGGAGCUUGCAAUUGUUCUCCGUGAACCAGGAAUUCCCAGUAAGCGCAAGUCAUAAGCUUGCGUUGAUUACGUCCCUGCCCUUUGUACACACCGCCCGUCGCUACUACCGAUUGAACGUUUUAGUGAGGUAUUUGGACUGGGCCUUGGGAGGUUUCGGCCUCCCUUGUUGCUCGGAAAGACUCCCAAACUUGAGCGUUUAGAGGAAGUAAAAGUCGUAACA
rnacentral:rRNA from 1 species